rnacentral:rRNA from 1 species
GCCGUAAACAAUUAACUUACAUCCAUCAGCGCCAGGGAACUACGAGCAAUGCUUAAAACCCAAAGGAUUUGACGGUGUCCCACCCAACUAGAGGAGCCUGUUCUUUAAUCGAUGAUCCCCGCUACACCUGACCAUUUCUUGCUCAUCAGUCUGUAUACCUCCGUCGAAAGCUUACCAUGUGAACGUCCUCAGUAGGCUCAAUGAUCUUUAACACAUCAACACGUCAGGUCAAGGUGCAACUUAAGAAAUGGGAAGUAAUUGGCUACAAUUUCUAAUCUAGAACAAACGAAAGGCUAUGUGAAAUCAUAGCAGCGAAGGUGGAUUUAGUAGUAAAAAGAAAAUAGAGUGUUCUUUUUAACCCGGCUCUGGGAUGCGUACACACCGCCCGUCACCCUCUUCGAUAGUAAAUAAUUCUGUCCUUAACCUAAUAUAACGUCUUAGAAGAAGCAAGUCGAAACAUGGUAAGUGUAUGGGAAAAUGCACUUGGAAAAUA